CCUACGGGAGGCAGCAGUAGGGAAUCUUUCACAAUGGGCGAAAGCCUGAUGGAGCAACGCCGCGUGCAGGAUGAAGGCCUUCGGGUUGUAAACUGCUUUUAUAAGCGAGAAAUAUGAUGGUAACUUAUGAAUAAGGAUCGGCUAACUACGUGCCAGCAGCCGCGGUCAUACGUAGGAUCCGAGCAUUAUCCGGAGUGACUGGGUGUAAAGAGUUGCGUAGGUGGCAUAAUAAGUAGCUAGUGAAAUCUGGUGGCUUAACCAUUCAGACUAUUAGCUAAACUGUUAAGCUCGAGACCGUUAGGGGUAACUGGAAUUUCUAGUGUAGGAGUGAAAUCCGUAGAUAUUAGAAGGAACACCAAUAGCGUAGGCAGGUUGCUGGGACGGUUCUGACACUAAGGCACGAAAGCGUAGGGAGCAAACGGGAUUAGAUACCCCAGUAGUC
rnacentral:rRNA from 1 species